rnacentral:rRNA from 1 species
AGAGUUUGAUCCUGGCUCAGGAUGAACGCUAGCGACAGGCUUAACACAUGCAAGUCGUACGAGAAAGGGGCUUCGGCCCUGAGUAGAGUGGCGCACGGGUGAGUAACGCGUGGGUAAUCUACCCUUGGAUUUGGGAUAACUCUGCGAAAGUGGAGCUAAUACCGGAUAGUCUGGCUUUUAAUAGAAGUCGGUAAAGGAUGCCUCUGCAUAUGCAUUCGUCCGAGGAUGAGCCCGCGUCUCAUUAGCUAGUUGGUAGGGUAAUGGCCUACCAAGGCAACGAUGAGUAGCUGGUCUGAGAGGAUGAUCAGCCACACUGGAACUGAAACACGGUCCAGACUCCUACGGGAGGCAGCAGUGGGGAAUAUUGGACAAUGGGGGGAACCCUGAUCCAGCCAUGCCGCGUGUGUGAAGAAGGCCUUUUGGUUGUAAAGCACUUUAAGCGAGGAGGAGGCUACUCUGGUUAAUACCCAGGGAUAGUGGACGUUACUCGCAGAAUAAGCACCGGCUAACUCUGUGCCAGCAGCCGCGGUAAUA